rnacentral:rRNA from 1 species
AGUGAACGCUGGCGGUAGGCCUAACACAUGCAAGUCGAACGGCAGCACAGUAAGAGCUUGCUCUUACGGGUGGCGAGUGGCGGACGGGUGAGGAAUACAUCGGAAUCUACUUUUUCGUGGGGGAUAACGUAGGGAAACUUACGCUAUUACCGCAUACGACCUACGGGUGAAAGCAGGGGAUCUUCGGACCUUGCGCGAUUGAAUGAGCCGAUGUCGGAUUAGCUAGUUGGCGGGGUAAAGGCCCACCAAGGCGACGAUCCGUAGCUGGUCUGAGAGGAUGGUCAGCCACACUGGAACUGAGACACGGUCCAGACUCCUACGGGAGGCAGCAGUGGGGAAUAUUGGACAAUGGGCGCAAGCCUGAUCCAGCCAUACCGCGUGGGUGAAGAAGGCCUUCGGGUUGUAAAGCCCUUUUGUUGGGAAAGAAAAGCAGCAGGUUAAUACCCCGCUGUUCUGACGGUACCCAAAGAAUAAGCACCGGCUAACUUCGUG